rnacentral:sRNA from 1 species
UUUGCCUGGGACUGUGCUUGUUUUCCUAGAGACUUCCCUUUAACUGCUGGAUGCUGCCUGGGUGCAAGUCCUGGGAGCUCUGUUUGCUGCUGGGCCCAGGGCUGAUCAUCGUGGCCCAUUCUCACACCCUUGAGAUUUGGGCCCAAAGCUGACUAGGGGCCCUCAGUUAAAUUGUUACACAGACAGGGCACGGUAGAGAGGCCAUGGAAUAGCAGUUUGCUGUGGAUUUGGGGAGUUCUGGGUAGGGUGGCAGCCCACAGCACCUUGAGGCUGAGGAGGAGACAGUGCAGACCCAGAAGACGCUGACGCACCGCCCCCUCGCCCACCCAAUUCAAUGACUGGAGUUCACGUGGCCCUGAAGCCUCUAUGCACCUGGGCUGUUGGGUGCAGGAAGCACUGGUGUUGAGUCAUGAAGGUGAUAUGGGCUUCUCUGAGCCUGGAUCCCACAUUUGCAGGGCUCUGGGAGGCUUGUCACCUAAAUGCACAUGCUCAGGGCCCUUAAGAAGGCCAGGGUUGCCCUCUGCUGGCAGAUCAUGGUUUAGCUCAGGAGUGCGGCUUCCCCCCUCUUCCCCAGGAUCAGGGCCCUUCUCUUCCCCAGGAAUCAACCCUGCCUACCGGACUGAGGAUGCCAAUGAGGACACCAUUGGGGUCCUGGUGCGCUUGAUCACAGAGAAGAAAGAGAAUGCUGCGGCCCUGGAGGAGCUGCUGAAAGAGUACCACAGCAAACAGCUGGUGCAGACGAGCCACAGGCCUGUGUCCAAGCUGCCGCCAGCGCCCCCGAACGUGCCACACAUCUGCCCGCACCGCCACCAUCUCCACACCGUGCAGGGCCUGGCCUCGCUCUCUGGCCCCUGCUGCUCCCGCUGUAGCCAGAAGAAGUGGCCCGAGGUGCUGCUGUCCCCUGAGGCUGUAGCCACCACUACUCCUGUUCCCAGCCUUCUGCCUAACCCGACCAGGGUUCCCAAGGCCGGGGCCAAGGCAGGGCGUCAGGGCGAGAUCACCAUCUUGUCUGUGGGCAGGUUCCGCGUGGCUCGAAUUCCUGAGCAGCGGACAAGUUCAAUGGUGUCUGAGGUGAAGACCAUCACGGAGGCUGGGCCCUCGUGGGGUGAUCUCCCUGACUCCCCACAACCUGGCCUCCCCCCUGAGCAGCAGGCCCUGCUAGGAAGUGGCGGAAGCCAUACUAAGUGGCUGAAGCCCCCAGCAGAGAACAAGGCCGAGGAGAACCGCUAUGUGGUCCGGCUAAGUGAGAGCAACCUGGUCAUCUGAGGGGUGGUCUAGUCUGAGGACACUGCGGCCCUGCCCUGGGAGGUUCCGAAGGCUUCCUGGAGGAGGUGGAGCUGCAGCUGGGACUGUGAGGACCGAGAAGCAAUGGCACAGCAGAUGAGACAGCAAAGACCAAGGCCUGGAGGUGGGAGCGUCCGCCCCAGUGAGGAGGCAGGUGGCCGGUGGGCACUGUGUACAGGAGCAGGCUGAGCCCCGCCCCCGGCCCUGCUGCCAUGUUGCUCCCCUGAAGGAUGCCCCGACCCCCGUGCCUGCCCUGGCUGGAUCCUAGGAGCCCACGGGAUUCUCUGUAUCAUCAGAGGCUGGGCUUGGCAGAGGGGAGGGGCCCGUGCCCGUCACCCCUGGCCCCAUUCCUUGGUAAUUAGCCACACCCUUGCCUCUGUACAGGGCCCUAGAGCAGAUGUGCGUCCCCCUCCUCUUCCAGCAGGUCUAUAAAGGGAAGGGGUAGCAGAAAGUCCUGGGCUAGGAGAGUGAGUCCCUGGGUUCUAAUCUUGGGCACAUCUGUGGCCAUCGCUGGGUCCAUUUUUCUGACUGUGAAGUAAGGAGAGACGUCUCAGUACCCAGGGCCUCUUCAGCUCUUUGUAGGUUCUGGGCUGGGUUGUGGGGGACUGGGGAGCUGGGCUCUACCAUCCCUCCCAUUAGUAGCUUUAUCCAGCCCCGUUUUUGCUGCUUCCAGGGCCUCUGCCUUCAAGGCCCCCAUGGGGCUGUCCAUCCAUGGCUCUGCCUACGGAAGGGGCUUAAUGCAUGUGCCUGCCCUUCCCCCAGCUGUUUUUAAUGAAACUGAAAAAAUAGACUUGAUCCCGGCAGGACUGUGAUACAGAGCCCUAGCCUGCCCAGCCAGCCCCAAGAUCUCAGGAGCUUUAGGGAGAAGACUUGGUGGGGUUGGAGCACACCUCGGGCCUCAGUGGUUUCUGUGUCCCUGUGGUGCCAGUGCUUCUGGGCAGUGCAGGCGGCUGCCAGGCCCAGCCCUGACCUCCACUCUGGCUCAGCAACCUGGUUAUUUAUGUGGGGCCGUGCAGGCAUGGGCCCACUGCCUGUCCGUCCUGUUUCUCUUAUUUAUUGAAACUCACCAUUGCCCUAUCCUUGUGUCUCCACCCCCUUCCAUGUGUUGAAUAAUAAAAGGUGGGAAAGUGCUGUCACGAGGAGCUCCUUUUCUCUGUGCCCCUUCCCAGCUUAUCCGCCUGUUCCACUUGUACCUGUCCAGCCCUGCCCUGCGUUGGGCACCGUGACAGGCUGCCCUCCUCUCACAGUUCCUGCACCUCAGCAGCCAGGGAAGCAGGGCCCAGAGGAGACCCAUCAACUCAUCUGGUUCUCACCAAAGCCCCUAGCUAGAGGCAGGGCUGUCCCACAGAAAUAGUGUGAGCCACAUAUGUGACUAAAUUUUCUGACAAUCACAUUUCAAAAAGUAAAAAGCAGCAGGUGAACUUAAUUUUUUUUUAACCCAGUCUAUCCAAAAUAUUUUCAUUUCAAUAUAAAAUCAGUAUUAAAAGUGUGAAUGAGCUGUUUUUGCUUUUGCUUUGAAAUCUGGAGUGUAUCUUACACAUCUUGAUUGGAACUCAAAUAUUUCAAGGGCUCCAUAGCCACGUGGCCAGCAGCUACCACACUGGUCAGCGCAGCACCUGAGGAAAUGCACUGUGUGGAGCCCGGGAGGUAAUUGGGGGUGAGGAAGAUGUGCGGGCCAGGGAAUGUGUUCCACAGAGAGGGACAGCAUGUGCAAAGGCUGGGCACCAACACAUAGUGGGCACCUGGGCCUUAUGCCCAGGGAGCCUCCAAAGCAUUCAGCUCCUGCUUGGCCAGUGUGGAGAGGAAAGGAGCCACAGGAGCGGGUGCUACACCCGGCAAGACAGAGCGUCUCCAUCUAAAAUUCCUAGGGCAAGCUUCCAACCCGGCCCAAGGGCCGCAUGUGGCCCAGGAUAUGGCUUUGAAUGGGGCCUAACACGAAUUCAUAAACUUUCUUAAAACAUUGA